GAAGAAGGAGAAUCACUUAAACCUGGGAGGUGGAGGUUGCAGUGAGCCAAGAUUGUGCCAUUGCACUCCAGCCUGGGCAACAAGAACAAAACUCCAUCUAAAAAAAAAGAAAGAGGUCCAAACACUGUCUCAUGAUACACCACUGUUUCAGAAUCUUUGUGUUGUGUAGACCAAUCUCAGUCUCCAGAAGGCCACCUAGGAUCCAAUGCCUGGAGUGAGGGUAAACAGAGUGGAAGAUGAGAAAUCCAUCCCCAGCGAUCGCUGACAUUUAGUCAUACAUUAAACAAUAUUUAUUAAGUAUGUAUAGUAUUUAUAGAGUGUAAUUGAGUACCAAGUGAUAUGAAAACCAUUAGGAAAAUGUUUGCUGGGGAACUGACAUUUAUAUGGUUCCAAAUAAAUCAGAUGACUAUUGUUUCAAGGGGGAAAUCAUAACAACGUAGUGGAAGGGUCAGCAUGCAAAUCCAGUGGUCAAUCUUCAUAUUGCUGUGUUGGAACAACCAGCUAUAGCUGCAACCUGAUGUGAUGGAAUGCAAAGAAAUACCUUACCUCUGAUGAAUUUUAGCCACAAAUAUGUAAAUGGAAUCUAAUAAGAUGUUAGCUCUUACUUCCCAUUUAUAGGAAAUUCAGGAUGUACCCAAUAGAGAAGCAAACAGACAAAUCCAGAAGUAAAUUCUACUUGAAGCUAAAAUCAUAUAAAGAGAUUUUAUAAGGAAGAAACACAAAGCAGCAACCUGUAAAUUUCAGCCUAAAGAAAUUCAAAUGCACAACCGUGAACUUUGGUACUGAUAGACAUAAGAGAGGAAAGUGACCCACAGAGCCUGCAGCACAACUUAAGGAAUCUGUUUUGCAAGGAAACACAUUUCCCAGGUAGGGUGCCAACUCUGUGGUUAUAAGAAGGCAGCUCUCCAUCAGCACAGAAAGAUGGACAUCUUGCAACUAAACCAUAACAGAGGUGAGGGAGUGGGACACUUAUUCACAGCUGAACAUCUUUUGCAUAAAACAUGCUGGGCAUAAUUCCCUGGGUCUUG
rnacentral:lncRNA from 1 species